rnacentral:rRNA from 1 species
UACGUAGGGUGCAAGCGUUAAUCGGAAUUACUGGGCGUAAAGCGCGUGUAGGCGGCCAGAUAGGUCUGCUGUGAAAACUCGAGGCUCAACCUCGAGCUGUCGGCGGAAACCAUCUGGCUAGAGUCCGGAAGAGGAGAGUGGAAUUCCUGGUGUAGCGGUGAAAUGCGCAGAUAUCAGGAAGAACACCUAUGGCGAAGGCAGCUCUCUGGGACGGUACUGACGCUGAGACGCGAAAGCGUGGGGAGCGAACAGG